UACAGAGGGUGCAAGCGUUAAUCGGAAUUACUGGGCGUAAAGCGAGCGUAGUCGGUUAUUUAAGUCGGAUGUGAAAUCCCCGGGCUCAACCUGGGAAUUGCGUUCGAUACUGGGUAGCUAGAGUUCGGCAGAGGGAAGCGGAAUUUCGGGUGUAGCGGUGAAAUGCGUAGAUAUCCGAAGGAACAUCAGUGGCGAAAGCGGCUUCCUGGACCAGAACUGACGAUCAGGCUCGAAAGCGUGGGGAGCAAACAGGG
rnacentral:rRNA from 1 species